UUCUGAAGAAAGAAACCUUGAACACUUCUGAAACACGUAAAACAGAGGAGAAAGAGUGAGAGAAACUUUCCCCUUGCACCCUAGCCGUCACCGUCCCAAGCCCCACCACCGUCGACGUGUUCGCGCAAGGGAGAGAAGGAGUUUGCGAGUGAGAGGGAGAGAGGAAGGUCACGCGUGGGAGAAGAGGAGAGAAACCAGAACCUUGCUCUUCACUUUCAUCUUUUCUUCAAGCCUAAGGACAAAGGGAAGGGCUGGUUCUAGGAAUGGAUGGUCGUGAAGAUAAUGGCGAUGACUCAUUCUUGGGAGUUGAUGCUACGUGACGUGCCAAUACUGGAGGACGACUACACUUCAGAGGAAGAGGAAGAGGCUAAGGAAUAGGGUUUGGGUUGAGAGUCUUUUGUUUUCUGUUGGGGUUGAGAGUUUCCGAAGUGUUGGUAUCGAACAAUUUUAUUGCUUAAAUUCGAAUGAACAAGUUUUGAUGUAAUCUUUAUUUUCAUUCAGGCCUUUGUUUCGUACU